UGUAGGGUGUGUGUGUGUGUGUGUGUGUGUGUGUGUUUGUGUGGUGUAUGUGCUUACCUAUGGCAUGUGUGCUGGUCCAGACCUGGAGCAAUUUUCAUGUGCUUACAGGGAUGAAGGUAAUGAAUGGCAUUUGAUGAGCUUGACACUGGAAUGAGGGGAAUGGCUUGAAGGCAGCCCCUCUCAUGAUAUGCAGCUGCACAGCCCUGCAUCUGACACCCAAUCUGGUUUGAAAAGGAUGGUUCAGUGGGUUGGAUGCUCUUCCCCAGGUGGACAGGACUGAGACGUGGAGCUCAGUUUUGCAGCCCGACCCUUCCACAUUCGAAGCAUGGAUUACACCAGGGACAGAUACUUUUUACCACCAGUUGGCCCAGUUCCUACGGUAUUCUGAAACAUACAGGAAGACCACAGGCUUCCCCUGCCUGAAGCCGGGUGUAGCAGUGGAUGUGCUUUGACCAGUGAAGUGGGAUUGAAAGUAACAAGAGCCAAUGUACAGCACACACGUGUUCUUUCUCAGCUAGACUGGCUGGGGAUGGCAUGCUGUGACCACAUUUCUACACCCUGAGGCAGCUCCCACCACUGAGCAACUCAUAG
rnacentral:lncRNA from 1 species